CUGGUUUUUCUUCAGGUUUCAUAAAUUUUUCACCUUUUAC
rnacentral:snRNA from 1 species